rnacentral:misc_RNA from 1 species
AGCAGCCGCGGUAAUUCCAGCUCCAAUAGCGUAUAUUAAAGUUGUUGCAGUUAAAAAGCUCGUAGUUGAAUUUCGAGAUCAAUUUGUUGGUCGUGCCUCGGUACGUACUGGCAAUUUUGGUUUCUCCCUUCUGAAGAACCAUGAUGUCAUUAAUUUGGUGUCAUGGGGAAUCAGGACCGUUACUUUGAAAAAAUUAGAGUGUUUAAAGCAGGCUCGCGCUUGAAUACAUUAGCAUGGAAUAAUGAAAUAGGACGUUUGAUUCUAUUUUGUUGGUUUCUAGGAUCGACGUAAUGAUUAAUAGGGAUAGUUGGGGGCAUUAGUAUUCAAUUGUCAGAGGUGAAAUUCUUGGAUUUAUUGAAGACUAACUACUGCGAAAGCAUUUGCCAAGGAUGUUUUCAUUAAUCAAGAACGAAAGUUAGGGGAUCGAAGACGAUCAGAUACCGUCGUAGUCUUAACCAUAAACUAUGCCGACUAGGGAUCGGAUGAUGUUAAUUUUUUAAUGACUCAUUCGGCGCCUUACG